rnacentral:rRNA from 1 species
CAGUCGCCGCGGUAAUACGAAGGGUGCAAGCGUUAAUCGGAAUUACUGGGCGUAAAGCGUGCGUAGGUGGUGGUUUAAGUCCGUUGUGAAAGCCCUGGGCUCAACCUGGGAAUUGCAGUGGAUACUGGGUCACUAGAGUGUGGUAGAGGAUAGUGGAAUUUCCGGUGUAGCAGUGAAAUGCGUAGAGAUCGGAAGGAACAUCUGUGGCGAAGGCGACUAUCUGGGCCAACACUGACACUGAGGCACGAAAGCGUGGGGAGCAAACAGGAUUAGAUACCCGAGUAGUCCCUGUCUCUUAUAC